UACCAGCAUUAUCAACCACCUAAAAGAUGAAUGAUUUAGACCCCAAUUAAACACCAUGAAAAGCAUAUGUUACAGAGAAUCAAGCAGAACUCUACAGAGAAUGUGAGGGAGAAACAGAUCAAGGAGUGGCAAAGCUUGGAUCUGAAUUCAGAUGCGCUCAUUCUCAAGCCGUAUUCUUAACCACUCUACUACUCUUCUCCAAUUGUUUUGGAAAUAUGAAACAAUUGGAGAUCUGAAGCUUCAAAACUCCUACCAACCACCAUCUCCUUCGUGAAGCCUUCCCUGCCCACCCCAGAUAGGAGGAAUGAAUGAACACCAGUAGUCUGCUGGCCUGCCUGGUCUGCCUGGUGUCUGGCAUCCAGAGACUUUUCCUGGCUGACCUUUUGGAGAAUGUCCAACAUUGAGAAAAUGGAAUCCAAAAGAAGACACAGAACCGGGCUCCAUGUUUUCAGAGACUGCACCACAUUGGUCAUUGGAGUUAAAUGUGUUCAUAUCCAUCGGCUCUGUGCUCUGUCACGCAAAAUAUUAAAAUGAAAUGCUAGGAGAACAGUUUGAAGCAAUCCUUCCUGUUCUUGAA